rnacentral:lncRNA from 1 species
CUUGCCGGGGCUGCUGCAUGGGAAGCCGGAGGUGGGCCCUGGGGACCCUGAUCCAACAAACAAGCGGGGCCAGUGGCCGGCCGGCGGGCGGGCCGCUUCCCGGAAGCACGUGCUCAUGCACGCGCACUGCACAGAGACGCUCUGGGAGCGCCUUGCAAACCCCGUCUUGGCAGGACAUGAAACCACUUGCCCGGACAGAAACCGACCACCACGGCGAACAAUAUUUGGCAGAGCUGAGAGUGUUUGGGCCUGUGCGUGCAAACACACAUUGACCAGAAAGCUGCCAGAGCCCCCUGGAGCAGGUACAGCAGGUGCAGGUGUCCCGCGUGGACCCCAUGCCCAAGGGAGCAGCGCAGAGCAGGGCCUCGGCUCCUCCGCAGAUCCCAGGCUGAGAAGCUAGCCACGAUCUUCUCUGAGAAUGCGUUCCUGCCUUCCCUCCCACAGACACACGGAAACUCUCCACCUGACACGGGGGCUGCCAGCUCCCGGCACAACCCGCUUUGCGGCAGGGCUGGCUCUGCAGAGCCUGAGUCUAUAAAAGGGGGAGAGGUGUGCACAGGCACUCAAGUUCGGUGUUGAAAUAAAAUCUUGCGCAGUAAAAA